rnacentral:rRNA from 1 species
GACGUAGGGCGCGAGCGUUGUCCGGAUUUAUUGGGCGUAAAGAGCUCGUAGGCGGCUUGUCGCGUCGACCGUGAAAACCCGUGGCUCAACUACGGGCUGGCGGUCGAUACGGGCAGGCUCGAGUUCGGUAGGGGAGACUGGAAUUCCUGGUGUAGCGGUGAAAUGCGCAGAUAUCAGGAGGAACACCGAUGGCGAAGGCAGGUCUCUGGGCAUUAACUGACGCUGAGGAGCGAAAGCAUGGGGAGCGAACAGG